UACGUAGGAUGCAAGCGGUGUCCGGAUUUAUUGGGUUUAAAGGGUGCGUAGGCGGCCUAUUAAGUUAGUGGUGAAAACGUUCGGCUUAACCGGAUACCCGCCAUUGAUACUGAUAGACUUGAGUGCGACAGAGGGUGUUGGAAUGUGUGGUGUAGCGGUGAAAUGCUUAGAUAUCACGCAGAACACCAAUUGCGAAGGCAGAUGCCUAUGUCGUACCUGACGCUGAGGCACGAAAGCGAGGGUAGCAAACAGG
rnacentral:rRNA from 1 species